UGCACCUACGGGGCGCAGCAGUGGGGGAUAUUGCACAAUGGGGGAAACCCUGAUGCAGCGACGCCGCGUGAGUGAAGAAGUAUUUCGGUAUGUAAAGCUCUAUCAGCAGGGAAGAAGAUGACAGUACCUGAGUAAGAAGCCCCGGCUAACUACGUGCCAGCAGCCGCGGUAAUACGUAGGGGGCAAGCGUUAUCCGGAUUUACUGGGUGUAAAGGGAGCGUAGGCGGUUUAGCAAGUCAGAAGUGAAAGCCCGGGGCUCAACUCCGGGACUGCUUUUGAAACUGUUGAACUAGAUUGCAGGAGAG
rnacentral:rRNA from 1 species